rnacentral:rRNA from 1 species
GAUGAACGCUGGCGGCGUGCCUAAUACAUGCAAGUCGAACGAACGGACCAGAAUCUUGCUUCUCUGAUGUUAGCGGCGGACGGGUGAGUAACACGUGGAUAACCCACCUCAUAGACUGAGAUAACUUCAGGAAACGGGAGCUACUAACAGAUAAUAUUUUGAACAUCAAGGUUCAAAAGAAAAUGCCGGGCUUGCGGUUACGUAUAGAGGGUUCCGCGCUGCAUUAGCUAGUAGGUACGGUAACGGCUUACCAAGGCAACUAAGCAUAGCCGACCGCAAAGGUUGUUAGCCGACAUUGGAACUGGGACACGGACCAUGCGCCUACGAGAGGCCGCAGUAGGGAAUCUUCGGCAACAGGGGAAAGCCUGACGGAGCAGGCGCACGUGUGAGAUGAAGAUCUUCGGAUCGUAAUACACUCUUAUGAGGUGAAAACAGAUGUGUAAGGAGAUGUGGACAACGUGACGGUACCUGAUCAAAAAGCCACGGCUAACUACGUG